rnacentral:rRNA from 1 species
UACGUAGGGAGCGAGCGUUGUCCGGAAUCAUUAGGGCGUAAAGAGCAUGUAGGUGGAUCAAUUAGUCUGCUGUGAAACGUCAAAGGCUCAACCUUUGAAAGCCGGUGGAUACUGUUGAAUCUAGAGUACGGAAGAGGCGAGUGGAAUUCCUGGUGUAGCGGUGGAAUGAGCGCAGAUAUCAAGGAGGAACACCAAUGGCGAAGGCAGCUCGCUGGGACGUAACUGACACUGGAGAAUGCGAAACGUG